GACGAACGCUGGCGGCGCGCUUAACACAUGCAAGUCGAGCGAGAACCAGGCCUUCGGGCCUGGGGAAAGCGGCGAACGGGUGAGUAACACGUGGGUAAUCUGCCCUCGGCAUCGGGAUAGCCCGGGGAAACCCGGAUUAAUACCGAAUAGCCUCCGGAGCCUUCGGGCGCCGGAGAAAAGGUGGCUUCGGCUUCCGGCUGAGGAUGAGCCCGCGGCGGAUUAGCUUGUUGGCGGGGUAACGGCCCACCAAGGCGACGAUCCGUAGCUGGUCUGAGAGGACGGUCAGCCACACUGGGACUGAGACACGGCCCAGACUCCUACGGGAGGCAGCAGUGGGGAAUCUUGCGCAAUGGGCGAAAGCCUGACGCAGCGACGCCGCGUGCGGGAAGAAGGCCUUCGGGUUGUAAACUGCUUUUGUACGGAACGAAACGGUCUGGGUUAAUACCCUGGGCUAAUGACGGUACCGUAAGAAUAAGCACCGGCUAACUACGUGCCAGCAGCCGCGGUAAAAC
rnacentral:rRNA from 1 species